rnacentral:rRNA from 1 species
CCUGAUGGAGGGGGAUAACUACUGGAAACGGUGGCUAAUACCGCAUAACGUCGCAAGACCAAAGAGGGGGACCUUCGGGCCUCUUGCCAUCAGAUGUGCCCAGAUGGGAUUAGCUUGUUGGUGAGGUAACGGCUCACCAAGGCGACGAUCCCUAGCUGGUCUGAGAGGAUGACCAGCCACACUGGAACUGAGACACGGUCCAGACUCCUACGGGAGGCAGCAGUGGGGAAUAUUGCACAAUGGGCGCAAGCCUGAUGCAGCCAUGCCGCGUGUAUGAAGAAGGCCUUCGGGUUGUAAAGUACUUUCAGCGGGGAGGAAGGUGUUGUGGUUAAUAACCGCAGCAAUUGACGUUACCCGCAGAAGAAGCACCGGCUAACUCCGUGCCAGCAGCCGCGGUAAUACGGAGGGUGCAAGCGUUAAUCGGAAUUACUGGGCGUAAAGCGCACGCAGGCGGUCUGUCAAGUCGGAUGUGAAAUCCCCGGGCUCAACCUGGGAACUGCAUUCGAAACUGGCAGGCUUGAGUCUUGUAGAGGGGGGUAGAAUUCCAGGUGUAGCGGUGAAAUGCGUAGAGAUCUGGAGGAAUACCGGUGGCGAAGGCGGCCCCCUGGACAAAGACUGACGCUCAGGUGCGAAAGCGUGGGGAGCAAACAGGAUUAGAUACCCUGGUAGUCCACGCCGUAAACGAUGUCUACUUGGAGGUUGUGCCCUUGAGGCGUGGCUUCCGGAGCUAACGCGUUAAGUAGACCGCCUGGGGAGUACGGCCGCAAGGUUAAAACUCAAAUGAAUUGACGGGGGCCCGCACAAGCGGUGGAGCAUGUGGUUUAAUUCGAUGCAACGCGAAGAACCUUACCUGGUCUUGACAUCCACAGAAGAAUCCAGAGAUGGAUUUGUGCCUUCGGGAACUGUGAGACAGGUGCUGCAUGGCUGUCGUCAGCUCGUGUUGUGAAAUGUUGGGUUAAGUCCCGCAACGAGCGCAACCCUUAUCCUUUGUUGCCAGCGGUUAGGCCGGGAACUCAAAGGAGACUGCCAGUGAUAAACUGGAGGAAGGUGGGGAUGACGUCAAGUCAUCAUGGCCCUU